rnacentral:rRNA from 1 species
CAAUAGCGUAUAUUUAAGUUGUUGCAGUUAAAAAGCUCGUAGUUGGAUUUCGGGUGGGACGCAGCGGUCUCGCAUUGCGUUUGUACUGCUGCAGCCCUCCUUCUUGCCGGGGGCGGCCUCUUGGACUUCACUGUCUGGGGGUCAGAAUCGGCGAUGUUACUUUGAGUAAAUUAGAGUGUUCAAAGCAAGCUUACGCUCUGAAUAUAAUAGCAUGGGAUAACACGACAGGACUCUGGCCUAUCGUGUUGGUCUAUAGGACCAGAGUAAUGAUUAAGAGGGACAGUCGGGGGCAUUCGUAUUCCGUUGUCAGAGGUGAAAUUCUUGGAUUUACGGAAGACGAACAUCUGCGAAAGCAUUUGCCAAGGAUGUUUUCAUUGA